CGGCUGGCGGCGUGCCUAAUACAUGCAAGUCGAACGGUCUUUCUAUGGAAGCUUGCUUCCACUGAGAAGAUAGUGGCGAACGGGUGAGUAACACGUGGGUAACCUGCCCAUAAGAGGGGGAUAACAUCCGGAAACGGGUGCUAAUACCGCAUAGUUUUCUUGAUCGCAUGAUUGAGAAAGGAAAGACGGCCUUUGUGCUGUCGCUUAUGGAUGGACCCGCGGCGUAUUAGUUAGUUGGUGAGGUAACGGCUCACCAAGACGAUGAUACGUAGCCGACCUGAGAGGGUGAUCGGCCACAUUGGGACUGAGGCACGGCCCAAACUCCUACGGGAGGCAGCAGUAGGGAAUCUUCCGCAAUGGACGAAAGUCUGACGGAGCAACGCCGCGUGAGUGAAGAAAAGGUUUUCGGAUCGUAAAACUCUGUUGUCAGAGAAGAACAAGUUGGAGAGUAACUGCUCCAGCCUUGACGGUAUCUGACCAGAAAGCCACGGCUAACUACGUGCCAGCCGCUGC
rnacentral:rRNA from 1 species